CGGGACGGGUGAGUAAUGUCUGGGAAACUGCCUGAUGAGGGGGAUAACUACUGGAAACGGUAGCUAAUACCGCAUAACGUCGCAAGACCAAAGAGGGGGACCUUCGGGCCUCUUGCCAUCGGAUGUGCCCAGAUGGGAUUAGCUAGUAGGUGGGGUAACGACUCACCUAGGCGACGAUCCCUAGCUGGUCUGAGAGGAUGACCAGCCACACUGGAACUGAGACACGGUCCAG
rnacentral:rRNA from 1 species